AUUGAUUAUUGGUACUAUAACGUUGUUGAUUGCGUCUACAUCGAGCAUACUGAUUCCACGGUUUGGCGGGACGAUAAUUGAUAUCGUUUCGGGUGAUCUCCAAACACCUGAACAGAAGAGUGAAGCUGUAAGCAAAGUCAAUAGAACCAUUCUUGGAAUCUUCUUGAUUGUCAUUAUCGGUUCCAUCUGCACAGCACUUCGAGCAUGGUUAUUUUCUUCUACAAGUGAAAGAAUCGUUGCUACAUUGCGAAAGAACCUGUUCACACACCUCAUCAAUCAAGAAAUAGCCUUCUUCGAUGUUACACGAACAGGAGAGCUUCUUAGCAAGCUUUCUGAAGAUACCCAAA